rnacentral:lncRNA from 1 species
GCAAUAUUCUAAAGUGACUGCUAUGAUGGAAUGGCCCCAAAUGUUUCUGAACAAUGAUAUUUAUGCUGUUUAUCCUGCAGCUUUGGUUCUGGUUUUGAUGAAAGAUAAAAUCGUGUUCUGCCUGCAAGCCCCUCCCAUAUGCAUUACUUAGCGCCUUAUCAAUAUCCACAUGCAUAUUUUCUAUAAACACAGGCUGUUUAAAGUGCACGUCCGUCCAUCUCAGAUCAAUCGGAAUUUUUAGUCUCUACUUGCUGAUGUCUGUACUAGGUAAGGGUCUGGGUUUAUAAUGGUGAAUAAACUCUUGAGGUUUUAUUAGUCAGUCUGGGGCAUGUUCUAAUUGUUAAGAUCUUUGUGAUUUUCUUCCCACUUGAGGAGAUGAUCAUGCAUGUAUUUAAUUCCUAACCAAGACACGGAUAAUAUGAAUCUGUUUUACUAAGGAGGAUGAAGGUUUUCAGUUUAGCUGACAAGACUCAGUCUAGUCUAGAAUCUUGACUUUCUUAAGGGUUAGUACCUGUGGUGUAGCGUUUUGUCCUCUGCAUCCACCAACUGUUAGGUAAAAGGGGGGGUUAAUGCACUGAAUCUGUAACCUUGAAUCUUUCUGUGACAAUUAUGCUUGCUGCAUUGAUUAUCAUAAAUGCCUCUUGAAUGCACAGAUUUCUGUCACACAGCUGUGAACAUAUCCUAACAAGUCAGCUUGCAAAGAAGCAAACGGGCUGGAGAGGGGGCUUGGUGGUCAAGGCAACCUGGCUCAUAAGCAUGGGGACCUACCUGAGUUUGGAACCUAGCACCCACAUAUGAAGCCAGGCAUGGGCACAUGUGUCUCUGUAGCCUGUAUUCCCAACACUGUCAUCGGGGUACAGCUACCCUUCACUGGGGAUUGCUGGCCACCACCCAAGGUCUAGGUUCAGUGUGAGACCCAAGCUCAAGUGAAUAAGGUAGAGGAUAAUAGACGAGGUCACUAGUGUCCUCCUCUGGCCUCAAUGUACAUGUGCUCAGACAACACACACACACACACACACACUUACACAGAGCCAAAAUUCCCUAACUACAUGAGCCUUUGCCUUCUGUCCUUGACCUGGCCAGCCUUGUUAUUUCGUGUGUGUGUUUUUCAAAGUACGUAAGAUGAAGAUGUAAGGGUAUGGAGGAUCCUAAAUAACAUCUACCAGUUACUGUCCCUUCCUGAGGGACUUUAUGGCUUUAAGUUAACCAUUGAGUGGUUUGUCUCCAGUGAGCAACUAAGAAUGAAUUUAUUAUGGCUGACAUACAGACUAAAGAUAAUAUUAAACACAGGGAGACCCAUGGCAUUGCUGCAUUGGGUAAAAAUCCUUCCAGAAAUACAAUACCAUGAUGAAGGACAUUCUUAUGGAAAUUAGUUAUGCCAUUAUCUGCUCAAUAUAAAUUUUAAGUGAGGAGAGAACUGUGCCUGGGUGUCAUUCAUUUUUGAAAUCUGAACGUUAAGGAAAAAUAGAUAAUACUUCUUCUCAGGUAGUGACACCCCUCCACAAGCCCGUGAUUAGAGAUUGUGAUGAAAAUGAUUCUUAGCUGAAUCUGAGGAAAAGAAUUAUGAUUCUGAUGUAAAAGACCUGGAAAUCAAAGACAAAAGCCUGCCAUUCCUGGGGCUACCUGAAGCCUGGGAGGCGAGCAGGCUUAGCACCUCUCUCCUGCCCCCUCCUCCAUGGUUCCUUUGUGUAGACCUGAAAUGCCCUAAGCUUUGCUGUGCUGGGGUGAGGUCCUUCCUGCCAGCCAGAGUCUCUUCACCUGCUCCAUUUGGGCUCAUCUUCUGGGCAUUAUUUCCGCUGCUCGUGGUAGGUAGCAGAAUCACUCCUCAAGUUUUGUUUCCUUUUCUGGUUUUGCAUUUGGAUCAUCCUGUAUCUCUCAGACUCAGAAACCCUAAGUGGAUGGAUGCAAUCUUUUGUGUCCUUUCUACUUCUUCCUACCGGUUGCCACAGAAGCAGUUAGCUGGUUCUGUACUGAGCUGUGUUAAGGCUCAUUGUGCUAAUGGCCUCUGUGCUCCCUGAUAGCACAUGUGUCUGUCUCUUUCACCACUUCGUCCACUCCUCCACAGGGGGUGUGGAGCAAGUGUGGUAGAUAUUUAUUUAUCCUCCAGAGUGUUUUUAUCUGGAAAAGCACAGAGGUUUAAUAAAAGCCCAGACAUCUUCCCCCUUUUCUUUUUCUUUCUCACAACAUACCUUCUACAGAUCAAAGUAGAUUAUGUGCAAAGGGCCCCAGGGGAUUAAAUCAAGUGCUUGCACCUUUACUGAGCCCCACAUCCUGGAAACUGUGUGAUACAAAAUUGUAGUGACGCUCAAAAGAUGUGUAAUUAAAUAUAGUUUUUAAUCUCUCCCAACCCCCUACUCCUAGACUUACCUGUAACCUGUUUCUUCCCUU